rnacentral:sRNA from 1 species
AAAAAUCGUAACAAGGUUUCCGUAGGUGAACCUGCGGAAGGAUCAUUACCGAGUGAGGGCCCUCUGGGUCCAACCUCCCACCCGUGUUUAUUUUACCUUGUUGCUUCGGCGGGCCCGCCUUAACUGGCCGCCGGGGGGCUUACGCCCCCGGGCCCGCGCCCGCCGAAGACACCCUCGAACUCUGUCUGAAGAUUGUAGUCUGAGUGAAAAUAUAAAUUAUUUAAAACUUUCAACAACGGAUCUCUUGGUUCCGGCAUCGAUGAAGAACGCAGCGAAAUGCGAUACGUAAUGUGAAUUGCAAAUUCAGUGAAUCAUCGAGUCUUUGAACGCACAUUGCGCCCCCUGGUAUUCCGGGGGGCAUGCCUGUCCGAGCGUCAUUUCUGCCCUCAAGCACGGCUUGUGUGUUGGGCCCCGUCCUCCGAUCCCGGGGGACGGGCCCGAAAGGCAGCGGCGGCACCGCGUCCGGUCCUCGAGCGUAUGGGGCUUUGUCACCCGCUCUGUAGGCCCGGCCGGCGCUUGCCGAUCAACCCAAAUUUUUAUCCAGGUUGACCUCGGAUCAGGUAGGGAUACCCGCUGAACUUAAGCAUAUCAAUAAGCGGAGGAAAAGAAACCAACAGGGAUUGCCCCAGUAACGGCGAGUGAAGCGGCAAGAGCUCAAAUUUGAAAGCUGGCUCCUUCGGGGUCCGCAUUGUAAUUUGUAGAGGAUGCUUCGGGAGCGGUCCCCAUCUAAGUGCCCUGGAACGGGACGUCAUAGAGGGUGAGAAUCCCGUAUGGGAUGGGGUGUCCGCGCCCGUGUGAAGCUCCUUCGACGAGUCGAGUUGUUUGGGAAUGCAGCUCUAAAUGGGUGGUAAAUUUCAUCUAAAGCUAAAUAUUGGCCGGAGACCGAUAGCGCACAAGUAGAGUGAUCGAGAGAUGAAAAGCACUUUGAGAAGAGAGUUAAAAAGCACGUGAAAUUGUUGAAAGGGAAGCGCUU